UACGUAGGGGGCAAGCGUUGUCCGGAUUUAUUGGGCGUAAAGAGCGUGUAGGCGGCUUUGUAAGUUAGAGGUGAAAGCCCAGGGCUUAACCCUGGAAUUGCCUUUAAGACUGCAUCGCUAGAAUUGUGGAGAGGUAAGUGGAAUUCCGAGUGUAGAGGUGAAAUUCGUAGAUAUUCGGAAGAACACCAGUGGCGAAGGCGACUUACUGGACACAUAUUGACGCUGAGGUGCGAAAGCGUGGGGAGCAAACAGG
rnacentral:rRNA from 1 species